rnacentral:miRNA from 1 species
UGAGCAGCUCGCGGGCUGCCACUUU